ensembl:lincRNA
AUUGCCUCACCUUAAAUAUCUUAUUUUUCUUUUAGAUUAUACAGCUUCUGUUAAGCAGUGCUGCUGAUCCACUGUUGAAAGACGAGCAAGGGAUAUCGGCACUAGAACAAACAAAUGAAAUUUCCCUGAAGAAGCUUAUGAAAAGUUAUUUGUGCCCAGCUAAAAGAGAGUCGGAGUCAGGUCUCAACAUUGUUUUCACUACAGCAAAACUGCUUUUACCUCUUAUUGUUAAAUAAAUGUAUAAUGUCAGCAUUACAUUUAAUUUGCUUAUAUGUUUAAUGUUUUAGGGAAAUCCCUGUUAAACAGCACUGAUAAUAUAGAAAGAAGUGAUGGAAAACAAUUAACACAAAGGCAGAAAAAAAGGAAGGAAGAUAGUGCUGUUGUGCUGAAAAAACCUACUCCCCUCAGUGGAGCACAGAAAGUUGGAGGCAGUUGCUUUAUAGAAGUAAAAGAGAAAGUUAACAGAAAUGUAGGAAAUAAACCCUGUAGAUGGGAUUUAAGAAGUGGAAGUGUAAAACUGAAGGAGAAAUCUGCAGACUCUAAACCCACUCAGAAGAAUACCAUCACUAUGGAAUUGUCGAUGCAUCAUGCAAAGGUUGACAUGCAGCCUGCAAAGAAUAUCUGUAGCACUAUAGGUUGUAAGGGGCCACCAGUUCCUUCAAACAGAAGGAAAUCAUGGCGGGACAGUGAGAAUGGGAAUAAGAAUGUGAGCAACACAUCCUCACUUUCGCCCACUCCCAGUCGAUGUGAGCAAGACGAAAAAAGUGCACGAGAACAAAGGAAAGAUUUGAAUUUCAGUUUUGAUUUGACUUCCAGCAUUAAGGGGAAAUUAGAGGUCAUUCGCUCUGAAGUAGAAACAACAGGGGAAGGUAAUGGUGGGCUUUGCAGCUUUACAAGCCAGCCAAGUAUAUGUGAGAGAGAGGAAUCCAUUAAACGUUGUGCUGUGGAACACACACUCUGUUCUGAAAGCAACAAAGCUGACGUGAUAAUUGACAAACAACUUGAUAUAGCUCAGCACAGUGAAACCCCUAGUCCCUUGCCUGAUGCAUUUGCAAUGAAAUUAACCCCAGUAAUCCCCUCAGGAAGUAAGAAGGGGAAAGAAUAUGAAACCGGAUCUGCUCUGGAUACCAAAGACCAAAAACCUUCAGAGGAAAACAGUGAGAUGGCAAAUGCAGAUUAUGGUUGUACAGACAGUGACUGUGAAAGUGAUGAUACCUUGGAUUUCGCUAAAAAGGUUUUUUUUUCGGAUGACCAGUCAGAUGAUUGGUCAAUCACGGCGACACAAGACUUUGUUGGAAAGAGAGAAAUGAGAGAUGAAAAUGAUAGCGAUGACAAUAGUGAAGGAGGAUACACUAAAGAAAGAGAUUACAAGAGUGCUUUUGGAAUUUUACCUGUGACCUUUGAGCCACUAGAUGAUUUUAGUAAUUCUGUGCUGGAGCCAAUUUCACCAUUUAGGCCUGUAGGUCUGAAUGGUUUACAAGAUGAAGCCAGUGAUAAUGAAACAGAUACAGUUAAUGAUACAUCUUUAACAAGUAGGCAACCAGUUGAAUUGUCUGUAGCUCCCAGUACUAGUCAAACCUAUGUACUGUUAUGGCACUAGCAUCCUUCACUUACAAUUAAUAAUAAAUGUUCAGGAUAAAUUCAGUAAAAUCAUCCAAACCGUAAUUACUGAUUAUAUGGUUACGACAUACUCCCUUGGAAACCUCCUGCAGAGAUUGACUGUUGCAAAUACAUUUUCUUUAAAAUAAUUAUUAGUUUUUCCACUUAAAAAAAAAACUCUAAUUCUUUUGUCUUCAGCUAAAGUAUUUUUGUCACAUAGGUAAGGUUUAAGUCAUGAAGAAGACUUGUCAUUCUCUAAAAAGAUUAAUUUUGCUUCUGCACAUAUUACAUGAUAUGUGAUUUAUGCUGUAACCUAAAAAAAUUAAUGUUCAGAAAUGUGUUCAUGUGUUGGUGGUUUCAGAUGUAAUGUAGUUCUGCAUAAAGCAUUAUGCAUAUGUUUACUAAAACCUGUUACCUGUAUGUUUACUAAAUGUGUUUUUUUCUUAAAGCAGUUAAAGGAACCUGUUAAAGCGUUUGUAUAUUUUACAGCUGCAGUUUUGUAAGCUAUAGUAUUUUAUAUUAUUGAAAAAGUGAAUAGAAAUUUCAUAUAUCUGUGGAAAUUAUUCUGGUUAUUCAUAUUUUUUGUCCAUUACCCUUUAGUAUUCAGAAAAAAAUGUUACUCAGGAAACUGUUGACUGUUCAAUGUAUUAAAAUGUAUAGCAUUGAUUUUUUACAGUAGCCAUUUUUUCUAUUCAAG